GCGCGGUUAGUACAGUGGUUAGUAUUCUCGCUUCCCAUCUUUCAUCUUGGAUCAGCGAGGGACCCGAGUUCGAAUCUCGGAUCGCGCA